rnacentral:rRNA from 1 species
GGAAAACUUACCAGGUCCAGACAUAGUGAGGAUUGACAGAUUGAGAGCUCUUUCUUGAUUCUAUGGGAGGUGGUGCAUGGCCGUUCUUAGUUGGUGGAGUGAUUUGUCUGGUUAAUUCCGUUAACGAACGAGACCCCCGCCUGCUAAAUAGGUCCGUGAAUGAAUUUCAUUGGCGAGAUCUUCUUAGAGGGACUUUUGGUGACUAACCAAAGGAAGUUGGGGGCAAUAA